AUGCUUAAUAGGAGAGGAAGAUUAGUGUACAUCAAUUCGGUGGUCACGGCAACGACAGCUUACUUCUUGAUAGCCUUUGCCCCGGAUAAGUGGUUUAUUAAGAAGGUGGAUAAGUUGAGAAGAAACUUUCUUUGGGAGGCUGCAGAUGCAAACAUUGGAGGGAAAAGCCUUGUCAACUGGAAUCAAGUUUGCUCCCCGAUAAGAUGUGGUGGAUUAGGGGUCAAAAACAUUGACUGCUUCAGCCGUGCUCUCCGUCUAAGGUGGGAAUGGUUUCGAUGGGAAGAUGAGGAUAGGCCAUGGAAGGGAUCGACGACGCCUUGCGAUGAGAUGGAUAAGCAGCUGUUUACGAGCUGCACGUCGAUUCGGCUUGGAAACGGCAACAUUGCGGCGUUCUGGAGGGACCGAUGGUUAAACGGGGAGGCCCCAUGUCUUAUGUAUCCUGAGCUAUACCAACUUGCCAGAUUCAAGAAGAUGUCGGUUAGAGAGGCGCUCAACAAUGGAAGAUGGAUGCUUGGGUUACAGAGAAUGACAACAGAUGGGCAGCUCAAUCAAUUCGUUCGACUCUGGGAGGAACUUCAGUUGAUCCAGCUCACGGACAGCAAAGACAAGAUCCUCUAG
rnacentral:rRNA from 1 species